CCAUCCAUUAGAAUCAAUAAAUAAAUUCAACGUUCUUCACAAACUGGUAGCUUUGACCAUCUCGAUCAAACACGCCUGUGAAAGUCGGUGAAAGAUUCUUGUUUAACUUCCCGAAGCAGAAGCAGCAUCUCCACGUGAGUGCACAAGGGUAAGUACAACGAGGGGGCUCUGAAUUCUUAAGCAACCGCAGUAGCGAGGAAAGCCGACAAGGUGUUUGUUAAAAUGGCGAAGAGCGCAAACAGGGGGCCAUGCUCAAUUCAUGGCUCGCCUGCGCGCAUCCUUGUCGCUUACUUCGAUGGCUCCAGACAAAAACAAUGCCAGCUCUGCUUUAAUGGAGGCAGAGGCAUGGUGGAUCCGGGAAUGAAUUAGUGAGGUUUCAAGAUUUGGUGGAUCUCAAGUUUGAAUGGAAAGCUUCUUCUUUCCAUGCAAUAAUAAUAGGACAAAGAGGUCAGACUAGGAUGGGAUAAACUUUAAAUUGAAUCAGGUAGUCACAGUCAAGCCCGAGAUAAAGAAUCUAUCUACAGGGCUGAGCAGCGGCAACCCUGCAGUUACUUUUCCAUACUGCAAUUCUUUUAAAUGGAGGAGCUUAACGGAGAAUUAGUUAAAUUAACAGAGGAGUAAUGAGCAAAUUAGAGAAGGAUCGAGGGGUGACAAACCAUGAAUGAGGGAGAAGAGACUGCCGUUGGGGAAGUAGUCGUAGACGAGGAGACGCUCCUCUUUGGCCUGGAAGUAAGCGCGAAGGGGGACGAGGUUGGGGUGGCGCAGACGGCCGAGCUCCUCCAUGCGCCGCCCGAACUCCUCUGGGGGCGGGCGGGAGGCAUCCUUGAGACGCUUCACCGUCACGAUGAAUCCGGACUCCAUCACCGCCUUGUAGGUGCUUCCGACCGUCCCCCGCCCCAGCGUCUCCGCCGAAGCCCGCAAUAGCUCCUCCAGACUGUACAUCUCACCGACAGCGCCGCAGAAUACGAGCUUUCCGAGCCCCUCCGCUUCCCACGAGAAACCGCCCUUGUCUCCUCUUCCUCUUCCACUCCCGCCGACGGCUGCCCCGCCUUCUUCAUCUGGCUUGUUGCGGCCAGCACCUGAUUCGUAACCGACUGAUCGGGUCUCAACCACCGGCCGCCUCCGGUUCCUAUUGCAGAACCAAAGCAACGCGAGGGCCAAGCAAAUUGACAAGAAGAGAGCCCCCGCGACAGACCCGGCGACGAUGGCAAUGGCCCGCCUCCUGCUGUGGUUGCUGCCGGUGGGAGGCAGGAAAGGUGGGAAGGCAUUUACAUGAUCCAAAGACGAUCCCGGGCUGAUGGAAGACGGCGGAAAGAUCAAUUUUUUAGUGCAGGGAACCCCAAUUUGAGCCCCGCAGAGGUUUGCAUUGUCGUGGAAAGAGGAAGCAUUGAACUGUGAAAGGGCUCUGGUGGCGGGGAUCUCGCCGGAGAGGUCGUUCCCGGAGACGUUGAGGUAUCGAAGACUGGGUUGGUUGAAUGCCGGGAUUUGCCCCGUGAGGCGAUUAUCCUCGAGCAUGAGCUCAUACAACCGCGGGAGGCUGACGAGAGACACCGGGAUUGGGCCAGAAAGGAGAUUUCCAGAGAGGGCAAUCACCUUCAGGCGGUGUAGCACGUCGAGAUUGGCUGGAAUCUGGCCGGAGAACUGGUUUUCGCUGAGGUAGAGAGAUUUGAGGUUGACGAGGGGGGAAAGGUCGGGAAUGGCACCGGAGAGCGAGUUGGACUUGAAACUGAGAACGCGAAGCUGGUCGAGAGGAGCAAGGAGGUCCCGGCUCAUGGUCCCGGUGAGGUUGAGGAACUCGAGCACGAGCUUUGUCACUCUACCGCCAGGGUUGCACUGCUUCACUCCAUUCCACCCGCCGCAGAGCCCCGAUGCGGUCUCCCGCCGCCAUGGCAGGGAGCCCUGAGGAUCUAUAGAGUUCUUCAAGGUCAAGAGCGCGGCAACGUCGCCGCCGUUCGGCACAUUGGCGGCAAACGAGGUCGAGAAGCAGAGGAAGAA